ensembl:lncRNA
CCUGUCGCCUUCGGUCGUGGCUGAGUCCUCUGAAGCAGCUGGAGAUGCUCACCAUCAUCGGUGGAAACUCUCUGGCGACCUACACCACCACCAUCCCAUCCAGCGUGACCAGGCUGACGCUGCGAGUCGCCAUAACGCUCAAGGACAUGGACUCCAUCGCACCCAAAGUCCCAGGACUGGAGCACCUGGACAUUGAACAGAACCGGUCCAGCGGCAGCCUCUGCAGACGGAUCCCCAUGCUGUUCCCAGAACUCAGGACUCUACGGAUACGAUUUUUCCGCCGGGAACCAGAGAAGGACCUGCUGAGCCUCCACCGACUGCGACACCUGGUGCAGCUGGAGCUGCUGGUGGAGCGAUCUUUCAUCCUCAGAGACUACCUCAACGGUCA